UUCUUGGUCAUUUAGAGGAAGUAAAAGUCGUAACAAGGUUUCCGUAGGUGAACCUGCGGAAGGAUCAUUAAAGAAAUUUAAUAAUUUUGAAAAUGGAUUUUUUUGUUUUGGCAAGAGCAUGAGAGCUUUUACUGGGCAAGAAGACAAGAGAUGGAGAGUCCAGCCGGGCCUGCGCUUAAGUGCGCGGUCUUGCUAGGCUUGUAAGUUUCUUUCUUGCUAUUCCAAACGGUGAGAGAUUUCUGUGCUUUUGUUAUAGGACAAUUAAAACCGUUUCAAUACAACACACUGUGGAGUUUUCAUAUCUUUGCAACUUUUUCUUUGGGCAUUCGAGCAAUCGGGGCCCAGAGGUAACAAACACAGACAAUUUUAUCUAUUCAUUAAAUUUUUGUCAAAAACAAGAAUUUUCGUAACUGGAAAUUUUAAAAUAUUAAAAACUUUCAACAACGGAUCUCUUGGUUCUCGCAUCGAUGAAGAACGCAGCGAAAUGCGAUACGUAAUGUGAAUUGCAGAAUUCCGUGAAUCAUCGAAUCUUUGAACGCACAUUGCGCCCCUUGGUAUUCCAGGGGGCAUGCCUGUUUGAGCGUCAUUUCCUUCUCAAACAUUCUGUUUGGUAGUGAGUGAUACUCUUUGGAGUUAACUUGAAAUUGCUGGCCUUUUCAUUGGAUGUUUUCUUUCCAAAGAGAGGUUUCUCUGCGUGCUUGAGGUAUAAUGCAAGUACGGUCGUUUUAGGUUUUACCAACUGCGGCUAAUCCUUUUUUAUACUGAGCGUAUUGGAACGUUAUCGAUAAGAAGAGAGCGUCUAGGCGAACAAUGUUCUUAAAGUUUGACCUCAAAUCAAGGUAGGAGUACCCGCUGAACUUAAGCAUAUCAAUAAGCGGAGGAA
rnacentral:rRNA from 1 species